AAAAUAUGAUGAUACUCAAAAACAAAAAACUAAAUAGGUAAAAUCCUCCUUCCUUUUCCUUUUUGAUUUCAUCUUAUUGUUUUAUUUCAGUUUUG